rnacentral:tRNA from 1 species
AUUUAUAUAAUAUAACAAAUUAUAUUUGAUUUCCAAUCAAAAAAUCUAUAAACCUAGUAUAAAUA